GUUACAGCCUGUUAACACGUGAUAAUGUGGAAUAAUACAGAGAAGGUCAGCAUGGCCCCUGGUGCAAGCAUGUCAUGUGUGAAGUAGAAGUGUAGCUGAAGUAU
ensembl:snRNA U6 U6 spliceosomal RNA